rnacentral:rRNA from 1 species
UACGUAGGGUGCAAGCGUUGUCCGGAAUUAUUGGGCGUAAAGAGCUCGUAGGCGGUUUGUCGCGUCUGCUGUGAAAACCCGAGGCUCAACCUCGGGCCUGCAGUGGGUACGGGCAGACUAGAGUGCGGUAGGGGAGAUUGGAAUUCCUGGUGUAGCGGUGGAAUGCGCAGAUAUCAGGAGGAACACCGAUGGCGAAGGCAGAUCUCUGGGCCGUAACUGACGCUGAGGAGCGAAAGCAUGGGGAACGAACAGG